CGGAAGGAAAUUGCAAAUAUUAACACUAAUUGUAUAUUCUAAAUUUGAAGCUCCUAUAUCUGCUUGAAAUAGAGUUUUGCAGUGAUUGACAAAAUUGAGAAUUUCGACGCUUAUUUGCUCGACUUUUUGGUCUGGCGGCCUCGGGGAAACAAAGGAGUAGAGAUACUCCUGUGGCCUCAAAUCAUUCACCAAAUAAAAUAAAAUAAAAAAUUCAGUCAAGCUUCUAAUUUAUUGUGAAAUAGAUACUUUUAGUAUUAAAAAAAAAAUACGAAUAUUUAACUUAAGUUUAAGUUAAUUCAGAUCAAUACUUUCUAUUAAUAUUUAAGUACAAUAGAAUCAUCCAUCAGUCACAUGGUUGUACAAAGGUAAAGGUAAUGAUACAAUAUCAAAAAAAAAUGUGUACUAGUCGGAAUUUUUCUAAAAACUGCACAUGAUAUCCACCCAUUAAUAAAUUGUGUUUUAAUUAUAAAUGAAACAAAAUAUAAAAGGGAUUACAUUUUAUCGUAAAGUUCCUUUAGGUAAUGCAAGAAUCAUAAACCAUGUCUUCAGCCUGAAAGCUGCUCCGAGGUGCGAUUGGCGAUGAUACAUUGUGGACACCCAACGGUGCAAGAACAACGCGUCCGAAGAACCACGGUAGUCGCUCAGCGGGGAGGCGACCCGCCUGUUCCUGAUUGACUCACCUCUGCCCGUAAGGAUGAGCAGUGUAUGUGAGGUGAGGUGAUCACCCAAUAGUGCAAAAACAACGUGUGCGAAAACCUCCACAACGGCGGCCCGCCAGGACCUGUACCUGGACGACCAUAGCGAAUCAGCGCACAUUCGCUGUUCAUCCUCUCGGCCACAGGUUGUGCUUACCUCUGCCCGUAAGUGUAUUUGAGAUUAUUCGUCAACGAAAUCACCAUCGAGGUGAUGAAUGAUCUGGGCAACACAUUCUUAAGUCUUUCACCACAACUCAAUUAGAUGCUUCAUGAGUUUCGAAGGGAGUUAAGCUGUUUGUUACUUAGUGCAGCUAGUAUCAGCAAGAAUUAUAUAAUUCAAUCUAUUUCUAUCAAUCUCUGAUGGAACAGAGGUCGUCCACACACACAACCCCUCAACAAAGAUUCAAGAAGCCGAAACAGUGAGAAACCAUCAAACCCUGAGGUAAUCUUUAAAAUUAACAAAAACCUAUCUUUAUAAAAACAUUAUAGUCCUCACAUAGAAUCUCCAUAAGCAACUUACAGUAAAUUCAACGGGACUGAAAUAAAGCUCAUGAACUUCAGUAUAAGUCACAAUGGCAGUCUGUUGCUAACAGACAGUGACAAACUUGUAAUCGUGUUAUGCUGGUUGUCCGCCAACUCCUCAGCGUUUAAUAAAAUGACGUGAAUCAAUGAAAAUAAUAUAAGGACCACUGUCUAUAUAGUGUUUUUUAUAAUAUAUCCUCCAUUCCACAUUUAUAAAUUAUUUUAAUAGUUAGUCAAGUUUAGUUUGAAAUAGUUUGGAAGACAAUAAUAUCUGUCCUCUUAUGGCUAAAAAAAUUUAAACGAAAGAAAUAUUUAAAUAUCAACAUACCGUCUCCAUUCGUCACAUCUUCCAUUAUUGUAAAUAUAAUUGAGAUUUAUAAUUAACAAUAUACUAACUAAUAUAUUUGUCGAGAGCUGACUUUACUGGAAUAAUUAAUAUUUUCCGUCUUUAAUGUAUAAAUGAUUUAUGAUUGUAACU